rnacentral:rRNA from 1 species
AUUGAACGCUGGCGGCAGGCCUAACACAUGCAAGUCGAGCGGCAGCGGGAAAGUAGCUUGCUACUUUUGCCGGCGAGCGGCGGACGGGUGAGUAAUGCCUGGGGAUCUGCCCAGUCGAGGGGGAUAACUACUGGAAACGGUAGCUAAUACCGCAUACGCCCUACGGGGGAAAGCAGGGGACCUUCGGGCCUUGCGCGAUUGGAUGAACCCGGGUGGGAUUAGCUAGUUGGUGAGGUAAUGGCUCACCAAGGCGACGAUCCCUAGCUGGUCUGAGAGGAUGAUCAGCCACACUGGAACUGAGACACGGUCCAGACUCCUACGGGAGGCAGCAGUGGGGAAUAUUGCACAAUGGGGGAAACCCUGAUGCAGCCAUGCCGCGUGUGUGAAGAAGGCCUUCGGGUUGUAAAGCACUUUCAGCGAGGAGGAAAGGUUGGUAGCUAAUAACUGCCAGCUGUGACGUUACUCGCAGAAGAAGCACCGGCUAACUCCGUGCCAGCCGCCGCCGUAAAAC